rnacentral:rRNA from 1 species
AGCGACCNGAACUAACAGAUUUACUUNGGUAAUGACNUUAGGAAAGCGAGUNGCGGAUGGGUGAGUAACACGUGGGGAACCUGCCCCAUANUCUGGGAUACCACUUGGAAACAGGNGCUAAUACCGGAUAANAAAGCANAUCGCAUGAUCAGNUUUUAAAAGGCGGCGUAAGCUGUCGNUAUGGGAUGGCCCCGCGGUGCAUUAGCUAGUUGGUAAGGUAAAGGCUUACCAAGGCGAUGAUGCAUAGCCGAGUUGANAGACUGAUCGGCCACAUUGGGACUGANACACGGCCCAAACUCCUACGGGAGGCAGCAGUAGGGAAUCUUCCACAAUGGACGCAAGUCUGAUGGAGCAACGCCGCGUGAGUGAAGAAGGUUUUCGGAUCGUAAAGCUCUGUUGUUGGUGAAGAAGGAUAGAGGUAGUAACUGGCCUUUAUUUGACGGUAAUCAACCAGAAAGUCACGGCUAACUACGUGCCAGCAGCCGCGGUAAUACGUAGGUGGCAAGCGUUGUCCGGAUUUAUUGGGCGUAAAGCGAGCGCAGGCGGAAGAAUAAGUCUGAUGUGAAAGCCCUCGGCUUAACCGAGGAACUGCAUUCGG